rnacentral:rRNA from 1 species
AGUUGCCAGCAUUCAGUUGGCAUCUAAGGUGACUGCCGGCUAAAAGUCGGAGGAAGGUGGGGAUGACGUCAAAUCAUCAUGCCCCUUAUGACCUGGGCUACACACGUGCUACAAUGGGCGGUACAAAGGGUCGCGAACCCGCGAGGGGGAGCCAAUCCCAAAAAGCCGCUCUCAGUUCGGAUUGCAGGCUGCAACUCGCCUGCAUGAAGCCGGAAUCGCUAGUAAUCGCGGAUCAGCAUGCCGCGGUGAAUACGUUCCCGGGCCUU